AAACAUCUCCCAGACACAUGGAGACCUCCUGCAGUAUGCCACAUAAUGCCCAAGAGCAUCCUGGGUUAAGCCUCCUCUAAAAGCAAUGACUGCCCUUAAAGUAAAUCUCUCUCCUUGAAGCAUCAGAUUGGAGGGAAAUUCACACAAAGGAAAUUCUGCAGAAUUGCUUCCCAGAGGGACACUGUGACGGACUUUGGAUCGGCCUGAGGCAGGGGGACUCCGGCAGGUGAAGGCCUUCUUCCACCGCGGUCUGAAGAUGAGCCAUGCCAGAAGCCUGCAGUACAGCAACAGAUGUACAAACAAAUGGAAUUUCCCUUGUGACUUGUUGGCUGAGACCACAAUAUUGUGAGGAGCACUGUUUUGUUAAUGAAACACAAGCACUUUUUGUCAUUGACUUUUCAAUGAUAGUGGAGAUGUGGCAUUGUGCAUCAAUUUGGAGAGCACCAGACUUCAGUCGGACAGCUUUGAAUAUUUCACUCAGCAGCUCUGCCCUCUGUAUGUAGGCCUGUGCAUUCAGACCCUUUGUGGUGAUUGAUUUCACUAGCUGGAGGAGGUUGUUGGAAUCCUCAUUGCAAACAAUAUUUGCAAAAGUGACGCUAUCACAGUCCACUUUGAGUCUUUUCCCCCUCACAGAUGGAUCUGCAUGGAGCCAUUCAGGACAAGGAGAGAGAAAAAAUACGCAUGUUGCCUUCAAUGAAGGAGAGAUGUCGAGCAAUGAAUCGAUCCACACGAAUAGGCAAGUUUUCAUGCUUGAAAAGGCCGCGCUUGAUGUUUUUGAACUCAGCUUCGACAUUGGCUGAAGUUGCGGUGAUGUUGGAGCUCCGGAAGUGAGGGAUCAUUACCCCUGUCCAGAGUGGUCUGUCUGUGUUUCGUCACAUGAAUCCACUUCUUCCAGGUCCUCAACCUCUACAUCUGGAAUGGUGACACACUCUUCUGCAAUUCGGGCUUUCAGGUAUUUCUUGCACCUUUCUGAAAUGAGGGGUGCUCCAGAGCUGUCAUUGCCCUCUGCUUCGCUGAGAGCGACAAUAGUGAUACUGCUUAGUAGCUCUCUUGCAU